rnacentral:rRNA from 1 species
UACAGAGGGGGCAAGCGUUGUUCGGAAUUACUGGGCGUAAAGGGCGCGUAGGCGGCCUGCUAAGUCGAACGUGAAAUCCCUGGGCUCAACCCAGGAACUGCGUCCGAUACUGGUUGGCUUGAGUUUGGGAGAGGGAUGCGGAAUUCCAGGUGUAGCGGUGAAAUGCGUAGAUAUCUGGAGGAACACCGGUGGCGAAGGCGGCAUCCUGGACCAACACUGACACUGAGGAGCGAAAGCCAGGGGAGCAAACGGG